rnacentral:tRNA from 1 species
UGGGGGAUCGUCCAAUGGUAGGACGACGGACUUUGAAUCCGUUAAUCUAGGUUCGAAUCCUAGUCCCCCAG